GGGAGGGCCGCUCUGAUUCAUCCCUCCAGGACCCAUAGGCAUAUUCUGUGUGGGUGGUGCUGGUAAAAGAGACUGCAUAUUUUGAUUAGAAUCUGCUAUUGUAGCAAGGUAUACCAAGUUUGUGUGCAACAUCUGCUGAUACUGAGAACACUCUGAGGUCUUUCCUUUAUUCUGAGAGUCCAUUAUACACUGAAUAAGAUGGUUAUUGUCAUCCAACAUCUU
rnacentral:misc_RNA from 1 species